GCCGUGGCGUUCUGGUUAGCGCAUCGGACUUGUAACCGGAGGGUUGCCGGUUCGAACCCCGACCAGUAGGCA
rnacentral:tRNA from 1 species